CACGUAGGGCGCGAGCGUUGUCCGGAAUUAUUGGGCGUAAAGAGCUCGUAGGCGGCCUGUUGCGUCCGCUGUGAAAGCCCGGGGCUUAACCCCGGGUCGGCAGUGGAUACGGGCAGGCUAGAGGUAGGUAGGGGAGAAUGGAAUUCCCGGUGUAGCGGUGAAAUGCGCAGAUAUCGGGAGGAACACCGGUGGCGAAGGCGGUUCUCUGCGCCUUACCUGACGCUGAGGAGCGAAAGCGUGGGGAGCGAACAGG
rnacentral:rRNA from 1 species